rnacentral:lncRNA from 1 species
AACUGGAGAUGCAGAAAAAAAAACACACUCUCCUCCGGAAUGGAAUCUACAUUGUGGUACAAUUUCUGAUAAACUCAGUAGCCCCAAAAGAUGGGAUCUUUCUCUCUUCGGUGUCACAGAGCCAAUACACAAAACCAAAAGGCCAAGGAACGGAGAAGCAAGAGCAUGGCUCGCAAAUCAACUUCUCAACUACCAAGGGCAACUUCAGCCGUUACAUCCUCAGAAGAAAGAAUUCAACUGAGGGGCAUAAAGCAGAGAAAGAGACUGAGGCAAGCUCCAGAGCAGGAAUGGAAGUUUAUUAAAAAGUCUUUAGAACAGGAAAGAAAGUAAAGAACUCUUGGAAGAGAUCCAACUGGGCGCCUGAAUGUCAAAAAGAGAAAAGAAGAUCCUUUAACCUUGACCCUGGGACAUUAUAGGCUUGCCCCUUUCCUGUGAUUCUUCUUUUCAGGACAUCGGAGUGGUACCUACGACAAAUGGUCAUAGAGGAACGCCUCUCCCAAAGAGCUCCGGAAGAAAAGAGCCCAGUGGUAAACAACCCAUAUACUCUGCAAAAAUAAGUAAACAAAACGUUUGAUAAUGCAUUGAAAUCAUCUUUUUAAAUGAUUUCCUGAGAGAGCAAGAAGUCAAAGAAUGCACAGAAGCUGAAAACAAGAGAAAAAGAAGACACUUGGAAGAUAAUAAAGGCCUAAAGCCAACUUUUCCCUAGGAAGCAUCUGCUCAAUCAUGAUAAUCUCCAGUUUCUGUUUUCAUGGAAGUGCAGAACAUAGGAAAUAGGUAAUAAAAUCAAGGACUACCCAAAAUGAAAGAUUUCACAGAUCUCUUCAUAAAAUUGAUGAAAAUCCUGGAGGGUGAAAUCAACCAAACAGAAGGAUCAGCAAGUAAGCUAAAUUCUCUAAGGUUCCCUGACUAGUAAACACAAUUUGGCUUUUAUAAUCUAUAUUUUCAACCUGCAUUCCUUCUACAUAUAUGGUCAACAAAGAUUUUUAAGUGAUAUCAAAUUGGAAAUACAAUCAGGUGACUGAUAGAAGCCAACAGAAUUCCUCUCCAGAGAACGCAGUCAUAUCCAGGCCUCAAAGAAUUAUCACAGCUGAAGUUCCAAGAAACAUGAGUUCAUGAUAGAAAAUCAUGAAAUAUGUGAGCAUAUAGGGUGAAAUUAAUGAGAGUCAGCCAAAACAAGAUACCAGCAAUAACUAUAAAUAUUGAAAUUAAAUUAAUUAGGAGAAUAUAAAAUUAGCACUUUCUAUGUUUCAAUCAAUAAGAUAUUUACUGAAAUUAUGAGCAAGGGACAACAGACUAUAUAAAUUAAAUAAUAAAAUUGGAA